rnacentral:rRNA from 1 species
CAAGUCGAACGGAGAUUAUUAAUGAAGCUUGCGAUUUAAUAAUUUUAGUGGCGGACGGGUGAGUAACGCGUGGGUAACCUGCCCAUAGCGGGGGAUAACACCGGGAAACUGGUGCUAAUACCGCAUAAUUCCUGUGAAGCAAAAGCAAUGCAGGGAAAAGAUGGCCUCUGAAUAUGCUGUCGCUUAUGGAUGGGCCCGCGUCUGAUUAGCUAGUUGGUGGGGUAAAGGCCUACCAAGGCAACGAUCAGUAGCCGGCCUGAGAGGGUGGACGGCCACACUGGGACUGAGACACGGCCCAGACUCCUACGGGAGGCAGCAGUGGGGAAUAUUGCGCAAUGGGGGAAACCCUGACGCAGCGACGCCGCGUGAGCGAAGAGGCCUUAGGGUUGUAAAGCUCUGUUGUAAGGGAAGAAUGUCUACUAUAGUAAUAUGAUAGUAGAAUGACGGUACCUUACGAGGAAGCCCCGGCUAACUACGUGCCAGCAGCCGCGGUAAGACGUAGGGGGCGAGCGUUGUCCGGAAUUACUGGGCGUAAAGAGCACGUAGGCGGAUAUUUAAGUCAGGUGUGAAAGACCGUGGCUCAACCACGGGGUUGCACAUGAAACUGGAUAUCUUG